rnacentral:rRNA from 1 species
UGAGGAAUAUUGGGCAAUGCCCGCAAGGGUGACCCAGCAACGCCGCGUGGAGGAUGAAUGUCGUAAGAUUGUAAACUCCUGUUAGAGGGGAAGAAUAGUACCGGUUGGACCGGUAUAUGACUGUACCCUCAGAGAAAGCCCCGGCUAACUACGUGCCAGCAGCCGCGGUAAUACGUAGGGUCCGAGCGUUGUCCGGAAUUACUGGGCGUAAAGAGCUCGUAGGUGGUUUGUCGCGUUGUUCGUGAAAACUCACAGCUUAACUGUGGGCGUGCGGGCGAUACGGGCAGACUAGAGUACUGCAGGGGAGACUGGAAUUCCUGGUGUAGCGGUGGAAUGCGCAGAUAUCAGGAGGAACACCGGUGGCGAAGGCGGGUCUCUGGGCAGUAACUGACGCUGAGGAGCGAAAGCGUGGGGAGCGAACA